rnacentral:rRNA from 1 species
GGCUACCCCUCCGGGACACACCCGGGGCUACACUACCCGACACUANCUCUACUUUUACCUUUCCUGGGUGACCACUACCUGACACACGACCGGUUUCGGCUGUCGCUACUACACGACUGGGCCCGCGGCGCACUUAGCUAGUUUGGCGACGGUAACCGGCUCACCACAGGGCGACCGACUGCGUAGCCGACCUGANGCGGGUGACUCGGCCACACUGGGACCUGACGACNCGGCCCNGACUCCUACCGGGACGGCCGCACGUNGGGNGUCUCCCACAAAUGGGCGNACNGCCUGAUGGAGCCAACGCCGCGUGAGUGCNGACCGGUUUUCGGNUCGUNNAACCUCUGUUGUACGGGNCGAACAAGUACAGUUAGUAACUGGCUGUACCUUGACGGUACCUUUAUUAGACAANGCCCACGGCUUAACUACGUGCCAGCAGCCGCGGUANAUACGUGGGUGGCCAGCGUUUGUCCCGGCCAUUCAUUGGGGCGUUACGCG